UAUCUUCAAAAGGCAAAGGACCGUUACAUUGCAAGAGAACUGGCGUUACUGAGGGCAUCCAAACCCUACCCGCCGAUGGUAUCCCAACUCGAUGAGACCAAUGAAGCUGCUGUAGAAGGGGGGAUCAGAAGGAAGUUUGAGGACCCUUCCUGAGUCCCACCUGACAGUGAGGUUGAGGCCCCAUCCGCUGCUGAGCCGUUUGAAACUCCUUCCGCCAGUGCAGUCCUUGCGCAAACCUGCCAGCCAUUCACCAAGAAAUCGGUUGUUAAGAGAAACAAGCCAGUUUUGAGGACUUCGUCCCCUCGCUGCAAGAACUUUGGGAUCCUUGCUGCUGAGCUGAAGGUGGUUAAAGAGCUGCUGGAAGCCAAAGUAGAACGGAAUGAUGAACUCAACCAUUUGCACUUUUCAACCAGCCGAGAAAAAGCAGUGAAGUACAAGAGGCUCAAGUCGUUUUCACCAUCGAAAGUGCCGCAAUACGUUAAACUGGUGGAAGAGUUCAGGGAGCACACGGAAGGAAGCGAUGCCACACUGUCAAAAAAGAGGUACAAUACAGGUCCGUUUUUGUUCC